AACGCUGGCGGCAUGCCUUACACAUGCAAGUCGAACGGCAGCACGGGAGCAAUCCUGGUGGCGAGUGGCGAACGGGUGAGUAAUAUAUCGGAACGUGCCCGGUCGUGGGGGAUAACGUAGCGAAAGCUACGCUAAUACCGCAUACGAUCUACGGAUGAAAGCGGGGGAUCGCAAGACCUCGCGCGAUUGGAGCGGCCGAUAUCAGAUUAGGUAGUUGGUGAGGUAAAGGCUCACCAAGCCGACGAUCUGUAGCUGGUCUGAGAGGACGACCAGCCACACUGGGACUGAGACACGGCCCAGACUCCUACGGGAGGCAGCAGUGGGAAUUUUGGACAAUGGGCGCAAGCCUGAUCCAGCAAUGCCGCGUGCAGGAUGAAGGCCUUCGGGUUGUAAACUGCUUUGUACGGAACGAAACGGUGAGCUCUAAUACAGUUUGCUAAUGACGGUACCGUAAGAAUAAGCACCGGCUAACUACGUG
rnacentral:rRNA from 1 species